rnacentral:lncRNA from 1 species
ACUUGAGUUGAGCUGGAAUACUAUCGGUAGCAAAUGGCCUUCGUUGCCAUCCAUUUGUUUUCGAUGAUGGAGCCUCCAAAUCGACGAUCGGCACCGUUGAAAAUGAUCUAUACCACUUGAAGUAUCUAGAAAUCAAAUUUCAUACUUUUCCGAUAUUAUUUUCUUGUCCAUCAAGUGGGCGUAAAAAUGAAUGGCUAAAAAUGAAUAUUCUCUAAAAAGUGAUGAUAGAAAUUUUGUAAUCAUGAUCGAGAGUAUAGAUCUUGUUCUAAAUAGUUUAAAGAAUUUAGCCAUUGGAUGGAGAGAUGUAGGGUUGAGAUGAUGGUGGUAGGUGGUGGUAGGUGCACUAUAACAGAAUUAGGUUAUAGGGACAUAUGUUUGGGACACUUUUAUGUAAGUGUCCCAUUUAUGCCAAAACAUAAAAAAAAUCUACUAAUCCCUAAAUAUAAAGUCUAAUCCAACAAAAAAUAAAAAGUUACUCUACUCAACCUACCCCACCCAGCCCAUUCGGCCCAAUUACAAACAGAAAAGAAAAAGAAAAGAAAAAUCGAUUACCAUUUCCCCUUCUCCCCUCACUCAUUCGACUGAAAUCCUAGACGAAGAUUCAUUCCUCUCGUCCUCCUCCACCACCGCAGCUAACGAGGUAGAGUUUCAGCGGUUGCUAAAUGCUUAAAUAAAUAUUGGUAAAUUAGCAGCACUUUUUUAUGUUAUAGCGACACUCUUUAACUGUCACUAUAUACCUAGCGACCCCAUAUAUAGCAACACUUUUUAAAAGUGUUGGUAAUUUAGCCAGCAGCACUUUUUUUGACCAGUAUCGAUAUUUAAAAGUGUCGCUAUAGACCGUUUUAAUUUGUUGUAGUGUGGAAUAGUGUUUGAUCCAAAGGCUAUUAGUAAUCCAGAAGUAAAUCCAAGGACUAAAAACUUAGAAGCAUCAAGGGGUUAGUGCUUCUAAAAGUAUUAUAGCUCAAUUAUAUAUA